GGGGAAUAUUGCACAAUGGGGGAAACCCUGACGCAGCGACUCCGCGUGAGUGAAGAAGUAUUUCGGUAUGUAAUGCGCUAUCAGCCGGGAAGAUAAUGACGGUACCUGACUAAGAAGCCCCGGCUCACUACGUGCCAGCAGCCGCGGUAAUACGUAGGGGGCAAGCGUUAUCCGGAUUUACUGGGUGUAAAGGGAGCGUAGGUGGCAAGGCAAGUCAGAUGUGAAAGCCCGGGGCUCAACCCCGGUACUGCAUUUGAAACUGUCUAGCUAGAGUGCAGGAGAGGUAAGUGGAAUUCCUAGUGUAGCGGUGAAAUGCGUAGAUAUUAGGAGGAACACCAGUGGCGAAGGCGGCUUACUGGACUGUAACUGACACUGAGGCUCGAAAGCGUGGGGAGCAAACAGG
rnacentral:rRNA from 1 species